rnacentral:rRNA from 1 species
AGAACGAACGCUGGCGGCAUGCCUAACACAUGCAAGUCGAACGUGAUCCAUGACUUCGGUUGUGGUGAAAGUGGCAAACGGGUGAGUAACGCGUGGGAAUCUGCCCAGAGGUAGGGAAUAACCGCGGGAAACUGCGGCUAAUACCCUAUGUGCCCUACGGGGCAAAGAUUUAUCGCCUUUGGAGGAGCCCGCGUCGGAUUAGGUAGUUGGUAGGGUAACGGCCUACCAAGCCUACGAUCCGUAGCUGGUCUGAGAGGAUGAUCAGCCACACUGGGACUGAGAUACGGCCCAGACUCCUACGGGAGGCAGCAGUGGGGAAUAUUGGACAAUGGGGGCAACCCUGAUCCAGCAAUGCCGCGUGAGUGAUGAAGGCCUUCGGGUUGUAAAGCUCUUUCGGCGGGAGAUGAUGACGGUACCCGCAGAAGAAGCCCCGGCUAACUUCGUGCCAGCAGCCGC